AGCCUUAGCCACAUCCUGGGACAUGCUUCCAUGACAAGGUUCCGAUCCUGUGACCAACUUGGGGUAGGAUGGAAGUCAGGAAAGGAAUAAGCCCUGGAGUGUUGGAGCAAAACCAAGAUCUUCGGCCAGGGUUUCAGGGGUGGGGAAGGGGGAAGUGACAGAAAAGAAGGUGGGGUCAGUGAAAGCCAGGCCUAGAGGGCAGGCCCAGUCUUUACUCCUAGUAGUCUCUCGAGGAAGUUCUAGCUUUAGAAAGGAAUUUGGACUAUUUACAUUUUUGAGGAUAAAUCCUUCUUGCUAGUGAAUGGCCAUUACUAUUUGCCAAUCUGAUAUCUGAAAAACUGAAUCUUCUGGCUUUAGCACACGUUUUUCUUAUUGAGGGAGAGCAGCGGUUUCAAACCUACAGUACCAGAGGCUGACCUCAACGCAACGCCCGAGGCUGGGCGCAAACCAACCAGUUCGGAAUGCCAUAAUUCACAGAGACAUUCCCACGGACCGGAACCAGAGAGUCCCCCAAGAGCACCGAGUGUGACCGGUACUGGCGGACGAUCACCCCUUAGCAGGAGCUGGAGAACACUUACCAUAAAAGAGAGGGCGAGCGCCUGCCUGGGAGGAAUCCCCAGCGCUGGCAGGUCCGGGACUCCCGGGAGAGAGCUCUGCUGCCACUGCCGCCCACGCAGGGGCGCCCGAGCGACUCCGCGGAUGCUGGCUGCUGCUUCUCAACCAGCGGCGCGUCCUCUCGACUUGUAUCCGGCGGCAGCGCCCUCUCGCUCCGCAGGGUGCCCUGGAGUUAGGGACGUUCUUGGAGAAGUUGACGCUCGGGAGAGGCCGCCGAGGUCCGGUCCCGAGUAGUGAAGUGCCCCACUGCGCUGAUCUCAGCGGGAUGCGGAAGCCCUUGCCCUGAUGGCCCUAAAGCUUGGCGCCUGACCUGGAGAGCGACGAGUCCCGCGCUCAGGGCACACGGGCCGCACCUCGGCCGCCCGUCCCCGGAGCACCGGGUUUCUUCCCUAGAGCACUGAGCACACGCCGCGAGGGCUGCAGUGGUGGCCAGGGCCCGGGCAGCUGUGCGCUCAUUGCCUUCCCCAGGGGCUGAGCGCCUUUGUGCGCCGGGCGCGCCGACCGCCAGGGCCAGCUCUGGAUGCUGCAGCCGCCGCCUCCCCCUCCUCCUCCACGGCCGCUCGCUCCCCGCCUUCCCGGCCGGCCCGGAGGCUGCAGCUGAAAGCCGAUCCGGCUGAGCUCAUCCCUGAAGGCCACUAAUCCAAUAGCCGCGGAAGGCGCGGCCGCCGGGAACGCCCCUUCCCCCACCAUCCCGCGCCCCGGCCGUCUCAGUUCGGGCCGCUGCCGGCUCUGCCACCUUCUGGAGGCCACCAGCUGGCGGGAAAGGGAAGUGGAACCCUCGCCCGCGCCCCUGGGCCGAAGUGGCGCGGACGCCAUUCACUCAUCUGCGGACUGGCUAGCCUAGACACUCGCUCACACACGCGCUCAUUCAUGCGCAUGGGUCCUCCCCCAUUCAUUCAAGCGUGCCUAGAGAGCCACGGUGGGUGUCCCUAGGGGCGGGGAUGAAGAGAGAAGACACCACGGUCGCUUUGGAGCCUGUAUUGAAGGCCUGCGGGAAACAACGACUGGGAAAGAGAAUGCUUUAAUAUACCCCCUUGCCUUAGGCGCACACAUGUCCACACUUUUCUGAGGCCAGACUCCAACUCAUCUUUCAGAAUCCAAUUUCACGCAGCACCUGCUCCAUGGUGUUUUUCCCCCGCCCACCUGAGGCCCGAGAGAAGGAUCAUCGAUCAGAGGGCUACCGAGAGCGCUGAAGGAUGGCGGCUCCCUCGUUAACCAGAGCGCAGAGAUAAGAGGGCGUGGCCAGAGCGAGGGAUGCUCUGUACCUCUCCAAGUUGGCUUCCUUCCAGGCCAGGGCAUCCUGCUUUCCAUGCCAGAGUUGACAUUAGGUCCAUUCCAUAGUCUUAACUGACCUCACCCCUCAGAAAGUGUCCUUCCCCCCCCCCCCCCCCCCCCCCCUUGUACACAGAAGAUAAGCACCUGUAAUUCAGCCUUGUGAGGGAAAUGUGUUGACCCAGGCUCCAGGGUACCUCUCCCCGACUGGGGAGGGCAAUUUGAGAAUGUUUCCUUGUGGAAGUGUCUGCAUGAAUGAGCUGCUAGAUGCAGAGACAUCAUAGUCUCAUGGUAGGUACCUGUAACAGCCUGUGGUAUGACUGGAGCCAAAACAGGAGGUAAGAUGAAACGGGAGUAGGUACUUAGGGUCUUGGAGAGCAUCCAAAGGGCUUGGCUUUUCCCCAAGAUCAGUUUGGCAGGCCUCUUGACCUUCACAGAUUUGCUGUCCAGAAAGAUAAUCCAGUGGCAGGAUGGAUAGAUGGAUGAAUAGCACUGGCCAGCUUGGAAGCUGCUUCAGAGAUCCAGGAAGUAAAUGAUGCUUUGCCGAUUAGGACAGCUCAGUGGUGUGGCAGAGGGGUAUUCUGAGCAAGUAUUUGCGGCGCUCUUGGUUUUAUUUGGGCUGCUUCAUCUAUAUCUGCAUGUCUGUCUCUCCGUACCUGUGUGUCUCUGCUCUUGGGACUGCACAGAAGAACUGCUGAAGGGAAUGUGACCCAUGCACACAUUUCCUUGUCCCCCUCGAGUCCCCUCCCUCCCCAGGACAUUUCUGGAGUACGUGCUCUGACCACAGCUGUGGUGCUAACAGAGCUGGACAGCGUGAAAUGAGAACCGAGGAAAACUCAGCAAAUGGGAACUUAAGCAAGACUUUUCAAGGACUGGAGAGAUGACUCAGACGGUUAAGCCAGGCAGUGGUAGUGCACUCCUUUAACCCCAGCAUUCACUAGGCAGAGGCAGUCAGAUCUUUUAGUUCAAGGCCAGCCUAGUCUACAGAAUGAGUUCCAGGACAGCUAUGGCUACCUAGAGAAACCCUGUGUCAAACAAACAAACAAACAAACAAACAAACAAACAAACAAAGUACUUGCUGCUCUUGCAGAGGACCAGGGUUCAUUUCCCAGCACUCACAUGGUGGGUCACAGCUGUCCAGAAUAUCAGUUCCAGGGCAUCAGAUGCCUUCCUCUGACUUCCAUCAGCACCAGGCAUGUAUAACACACAUACAUUCACACAGGCAAAGUACUCAUACACUUAAAAUAAACCUGAAAAAAAAAAUACCCAAGACUCCCCGGCUGAUGGUUUUUCUACCUGGAGCCAACACUCAUUUCUUCCUUCUUUCUGGAAGACUUCACAAUAGCUCUAGAACAGGUGAGGAAGGGUCAAGGGUCACAAUUUGAGAAACUGCUCCCCCAAACACAUACCUGUGUGCCAAAUAAGUUCUCUACACAAGCCUUUACAAAUGUGACUUGCCUUGGGUAUCAAGAAAUGGGCACAAUGGCACCCCCAAAUAUCACUAAAGUUCCCCCAAAUCUUCCACCCCCUGAAUAGCAUAGGUAUGGUGUGUCCCCAAGUUUGAAAUGUGAACAAGUAUCUGUUCGUUCCACAUAGGGUAUCCAUGGUGGAAAUAAUUCCACCCAAGCCUAUUUUGAUGAUCCAUUAAUGUUACUUAUAGAAGCACGGGAGGCACAGAGAUAUCACUAAAAAGCCCAUCCCGGGAUGGAGAGCAAGUGGAGCUCUGUGCACAGCUAGCGAUUAGAAGAGCCUGCAUGCUCCAGCUUUUACAAGCUCGAGAAGGAGCCUUGUGAAUCUUGUAACUUUCAUGAGCUUUCCGAGCCUUCUAAGUUUUAUUAGCUUCCUGAGUUUUAGUUUUAAAAAAAAAGAAGAAAGAAAAAGAAAAAGUCUUAGUAAACCUCUCUGAGAGAAUGUUUCAAUUCAGAGGAAACAACCGCACAAGAAGAAGGAACAAUUGCCAUUUGAGGAAUGGCCUGGAUCACCUGACCAAAUGUUCUUUAAACUGAAGUUCGAAGCCUAUAAACUGGCCUCUGAUAAUCUUUGACCCUGGAUUGCCACAUUCUGUCUCCCUUCCUCGGAAAUGCAGGUCAGACUGCCUUGCUUUUCACAAAUAGAACACAGUAAGACAGACAAGCUGUCUUUCCCUCCUGGGAUUGGAUAAGGAAAAGGCUCGAGGCUCUGGGCACACAUCAUCUCUCUUGCUCUUUUGCCUUUUGCCCCCCACAAAGGAAGUCAGGUAUUGUGUGGGGAAACUUGGUGAGGGACUGAGGCCUGCCGCCAUGGAACUGAGCUAGGUAGCACAUCCCCUUCCUUGGCUGAGACUUCCUGUCAGAUUUCAAUCCUUUUGAUGUCUUGAAUACAUUCAAGACACCUGAAUCAGAGGCAUAAACUAAGCCACACUGAUUCUCUCGACUGUGGAAAUGCUAAGAAAAUGAUUGUGAUUUUUAAGCUUCUGAAUCUUGGGAUUUUGCUAAUCGGCAUCAUAUAUACAAGAAAUUCUUAACUGCCAAGGAGUGGAUCUAAAAUAAAUCCCUGAUGAACUC
ensembl:antisense Gm16010 predicted gene 16010